rnacentral:rRNA from 2 species
CAGGUUUACCUGUGUGACUGCGUACCUUUUGUAUAAUGGGUCAGCGACUUAUAUUCUGUAGCAAGGUUAACCGAAUAGGGGAGCCGGAGGGAAACCGAGUCUUAAUUGGGCGUUAAGUUGCAGGGUAUAGACCCGAAACCCGGUGAUCUAGCCAUGGGCAGGUUGAAGGUUGGGUAACACUAACUGGAGGACCGAACCGACUAAUGUUGAAAAAUUAGCGGAUGACCUGUGGCUGGGGGUGAAAGGCCAAUCAAACCGGGAGAUAGCUGGUUCUCCCCGAAAGCUAUUUAGGUAGCGCCUCGUGAAUUCAUCUCCGGGGGUAGAGCACUGUUUCGGCUAGGGGGCCAUCCCGGCUUACCAACCCGAUGCAAACUGCGAAUACCGGAGAAUGUUAUCACGGGAGACACACGGCGGGUGCUAACGUCCGUCGUGAAGAGGGAAACAACCCAGACCGCCAGCUAAGGUCCCAAAGUCAUGGUUAAGUGGGAAACGAUGUGGGAAGGCCCAGACAGCCAGGAUGUUGGCUUAGAAGCAGCCAUCAUUUAAAGAAAGCGUAAUAGCUCACUGGUCGAGUCGGCCUGCGCGGAAGAUGUAACGGGGCUAAACCAUGCACCGAAGCUGCGGCAGCGACGCUGAUGCGUUGUUGGGUAGGGGAGCGUUCUGUAAGCCUG